GGCGAUUACAGGUACGGGCUCUGAGAGGAGAAGCCCGGAGAUGGGUACUGAGACACGGACCCAGGCCCUAUGGGGCGCAGCAGGCGAGAAAACUUUGCAAUGUGCGAAAGCACGACAAGGUUAAUCCGAGUGAUUUCUGCUAAAGAAAUCUUUUGCCAGUCGUAAAACCGCUGGUGAAUAAGGGGUGGGCAAGUUCUGGUGUCAGCCGCCGCGGUAAAACCAGCACCUCAAGUGGUCAGGAUGAUUAUUGGGCCUAAAGCAGCCGUAGCCGGCUUUGUAAGUUUUCGGUUAAAUCCAUGUGCUCAACGCAUGGGCUGCCGAAAAUACUGCAUAGCUAGGGAGUGGGAGAGGUAGACGGUACUCAGUAGGUAGGGGUAAAAUCCUUUGAUCUAUUGAUGACCACCUGUGGCGAAGGCGGUCUACCAGAACACGUUCGACGGUGAGGGAUGAAAGCUGGGGGAGCAAACCGGAUUAGAUACCCUGGUA
rnacentral:rRNA from 1 species